UACGGAGGGUGCGAGCGUUAUCCGGAUUUACUGGGUUUAAAGGGUGCGUAGGCGGGAUAUUAAGUCAGUGGUGAAAUCUUGUCGCUUAACGAUAAAACUGCCAUUGAUACUGAUAUUCUUGAAUUAGGUUGAGGUUAGCGGAAUGUGACAUGUAGCGGUGAAAUGCAUAGAUAUGUCAUGGAACACCAAUUGCGAAGGCAGCUAGCUGGGCUUAUAUUGACGCUGAGGCACGAAAGCGUGGGUAGCGAACAGG
rnacentral:rRNA from 1 species